rnacentral:tRNA from 1 species
GGGGAUAUAGCUCAGCUGGGAGAGCGCCUGCUUUGCAAGCAGGAGGUCGUCGGUUCAAACCCGUCUAUCUCCACAA